rnacentral:rRNA from 2 species
CGGUUUAAACCAGAAGUCACGGCUAACUACGUGCCAGCAGCCGCGGUAAUACGUAGGUGGCAAGCGUUAUCCGGGAUUUAUUGGGCGUAAAGAGAGUGCAGGCGGUUUUCUAAGUCUGAUGUGAAAGCUUUCGGCUUAACCGGAGAAGUGCAUCGGAAACUGGAUAACUUGAGUGCAGAAGAGGGUAGUGGAACUCCAUGUGUAGCGGUGGAAUGCGUAGAUAUAUGGAAGAACACCAGUGGCGAAGGCGGCUACCUGGUCUGCAACUGACGCUGAGACUCGAAAGCAUGGGUAGCGAACAGGAUUAGAUACCCUGGUAGUCCAUGCCGUAAACGAUGAGUGCUAGGUGUUGGAGGGUUUCCGCCCUUCAGUGCCGGAGCUAACGCAUUAAGCACUCCGCCUGGGGAGUACGACCGCAAGGUUGAAACUCAAAGGAAUUGACGGGGGCCCGCACAAGCGGUGGAGCAUGUGGUUUAAUUCGAAGCUACGCGAAGAACCUUACCAGGUCUUGACAUCUUGCGCCAACCCUAGAGAUAGGGCGUUUCCUUCGGGAACGCAAUGACAGGUGGUGCAUGGUCGUCGUCAGCUCGUGUCGUGAGAUGUUGGGUUAAGUCCCGCAACGAGCGCAACCCUUGUUACUAGUUGCCAGCAUUAAGUUGGGCACUCUAGUGAGACUGCCGGUGACAAACCGGAGGAAGGUGGGGACGUCAGAUCAUCAUGCCCCUUAUGACCUGGGCUACACACGUGCUACAAUGGACGGUACCGAGUCGCGAACUCGCGAGGGCAAGCAAAUCUCUUAAAACCGUUCUCAGUUCGGACUGCAGGCUGCAACUCGCCUGCACGAAGUCGGAAUCGCUAGUAAUCGCGGAUCAGCAUGGCGGUGAAUACGUUCCCGGGCCUUGUACACACCGCCCGUCACACCAUGAGAGUUUGACACCCAAAGUCGGUGGGGUAACCUUUAGGAGCCAGCCGCGUAAGUGACAGGAUUG